GGAAGAGAGAGAUACAGAAACAGAGGAAGAGAGUGCGUGUGAGAAGCAGAGAGGUAGACAGAGAUGCUGAGCCACAUUCACUGUGUCUGUGAGGCUGAGUGUGGCAGAACGCUUCUGAUUAGGAACCACAGAACAAUCAGUGCUGAUAGAAAAAGGACCUACAGAACCUAAUCUGGUACCCUGGAUGACACGCUGGUUCGACAACAUUGUGAUAUUCCACUGCUAGAAUUGACCAUCAUAACCUGCGGGCUUACGGAACGUGAUUUGGAACUUAAAAUAGAGACACAUCGCAGGCUGGUAGGGAAGUCUGAGGACCUUGCCAGCUUCCAGAACCAGACAAGAACCAUGUCGGAGCCCAGCGGGAGGGUCCACUCCAAGAAGGCCGGGAUCAGAGCUGCUGUGAUCCUGAUCGGACUUCUUCACAAGUCCAGACGGGCCAAGGAGAGAGAGAGGGAGAAGGAAAGAGAGAGGGAGAGAGAGAAAGAGAGAGAACAGAAGCAGGAACUCCUGACCAUUUCCAACGUCCCCCUGGGAGACUGCCCCCCCUCGCCCCCCCGCACCGCCCCGCCAUCUAUGAAGUCUGCAGAGUUCUUCGACAUGUUGGAGAGGAUGCAGGUCCCCAAACCUGAGGAGACUAAAGGAAGUACGCAGAAACACAAGGAUGAUUACAUCCCAUACCCAAGAAUAGAAGACGUCCUUGAGAAGGGGGGUCCGUACCCUCAGGUGAUCCUUCCCCAGUUCGGGGGCUACUGGAUCGAGGAUGCGGAGGCCGCGGCGGGCACCCCCACCUCGUCAGAGAGCAGCUUCUGUGAGGACGACGAUGGGGGGGGCAUGAGUCCUGGGGGGGGCUUCGGCUUCCGCCUGGAGUGUAACAGCACAGCCAGGGCUUUCCGCAAACAUUUCCUAGGCAGGGAGCAUAUGAACUACUACUGUACAGGCAGCAGCCUGGGGAAUCUGAUCAUGUCCUUGAAGCAUGAGGAGGCUGAAGGACAGGAGUUCCUACGCAUCAUUCUCAGGUCCCGGACCAAGACCCACCACGACCGGAUCUCUUUGGCUGGGCUCAGCCAGCUUCCUAGCGUCCCCCAGAUUGCCAAGCUGCUGUGUGAUGACGUCACAGGACUGAAGUUUAAUCCCGCCCUCUACCCCCGGGGUUCCCAGCUUGUAGUGGCCUACGACGAACACGAGGUGAACAAUACCUUCAAGUUUGGCGUCAUCUACCAGAAGUUCGGACAGACGUCGGAGGAGGAGUUGUUUGGGAACAGCGAGGAGACUCCAGCCUUCAGAGAGUUCCUCAGUGUUCUUGGAGACAACAUCGAGCUGCACGAUUUCAAAGGGUUCCGAGGUGGUCUGGACGUGUCUCACGGCCAGACGGGUUCCGAGUCCGUCUACACAGUGUUCCGUCAGAGAGAGAUCAUGUUCCACGUCUCAACCAAGCUACCCUUCACCGAAGGGGACAUACAGCAGCUCCAAAGGAAGAGGCACAUAGGAAAUGACAUUGUGGCGGCCGUCUUCCAGGAAGAGGCCACGCCCUUUGUGCCGGACAUGAUUGCCUCCAACUUCCUGCAUGCAUAUGUGCUGGUUCAGGCAGAAAACCCCUGCACAGAACAUACAACCUACAAGGUGUCUGUUACAGCGAGGGAGGACGUUCCUACUUUUGGCCCACCUCUCCCCAACCCAGCAGUUUUCAAGAAGGGCCCUGAGUUCCGUGACUUCCUGCUGACAAAGCUGAUCAAUGCUGAGAACGCCUGCUACAAGUCUGACAAGUUCGCUAAACUGGAGGGGCGAACACGGGCUGCAUUGCUGGAUAAUCUGCAUGACGAGUUGCACAGACAAACCCAGGCUACUUUGGGGCUGGGCCAGGCGGGGGAGGAGGACAGGCUGGAGAACGGAGGACACGGGGGACUGCUGGAGUCCUUCAAGAGGGCCAUGCGUGUGAGGAGCCACUCCAUGGAGACUAUGGUGGGCUCCCAUCGUCACCGUAGCCCAGGAGGGGGAGUCCCAGCCAGCCUCAGUGGAGGGGGGCUCCCACAAAGCUCCAGCGAGUGCACCAAGAGCACCUUCACGGUCAGUCAGCCUCCAGGGCUGUCUGCCAAGUCUCCCAUGAAGAGUCCGGUCAAGCGUCGCUCUGGCCUCUUCCCCCGCCUCCACUCCAGCACUGAGACCCCCACAGAGAGGCACCCACGCAGCGAUGCAAAGACACCCGAAAUCUGCCCGCUGUCGCAGGAAAUGCGAUCGGAGACAUCUUCGAACCCGAGCUCACCAGAGAUCUGUCCCAACAAGGAGAGGCCGUUUGUCAAGCUGAAGGAGUUUAGCAGCAGCAGCAGCAGACCCAACAUCUCCCGCUCCUCCUCCUCCACCAGCAGCUUCAGCAGCACCACGGGAGAGACAGAGGCCCUGGAGGAUCUUGAAACAUCGGCCAGCCACCUUGCCAAUGCCUCCUCAUCCAUCUUCAGCCCAUCUCUCAGUGUUGAGAGCCAAAGCUCUGGAACCCCAGUGAUCAUGUGCCGCAGUCCUACUGUUGAAUGUCCAUCCAGAUGUGAAGACUAAAACAUCGCCCAGGUCAAAUUUGAAGUUCCGCUUCGACAAGCUGAGCCACUCCACUACAUCAGAGUAGCCGGACAAGUGCCUGGUGACAAAAGAAAUACUGGAAAAUGGUGGCUGAUGGAGAAAAAAAACACCAAUAACUGCAACAACAAAAUAACAACAACAGAAACAGCAUACCACAAUGGAAUCACUAAACCAAGCAGGCUACCAUUUCACUCCUCAACACAAGCCAACCUCACAGAGGUGGUUGGUGGAAGCGUUUUCUUGUUGUGAGGUACACAGUUGGAUUAUAUGAAGAGUGACCUGCAGCCAUUAGCUCAGCAAGAUAAUACAGUCUGAUGAUACACAGACAGGGGUCACAUCCUUCUAGGUCCACCCACCUACAGGUCAGGUCUACAGUCUUCAUAGCAAAGAGGCUGAUGGGUGUGUUUAGCUGUUGUUUUUGUCGUUCCUUGUUUUCAGGCUGGUCCUUCUCUCUCUCCCUUUGGGUAUUUACGUCUGCAAAAAUGCUACUGAACAUAGAUUGGAUCAUCUUAGCUAUCAGUAUUUCUGUGGUCAAGAUUGUCUGAUGGUGAGAACUAGAACUAUGGUCAAAAAUACCUUUGCUGGAAAACACUCUGUCAUACUGUAUGCUUUGUUUAGCCAAAUUUGCGCUUUACAAUCUAUGAAAUCCCCUUGUUAACUUGUGUUCUCACUAUGUGAGAGGCUGAACAGAUAGGUUACCUCACUAUGGUUGUUGCAAUUCCCUAAACAUUUCACUGCAAGUAUACUACCCACAUUGUCAUAACAAAAUAUCUAUAUUUGUGGUACAGUAGUUUGCAACAACUUUUCACAUCUGAUUCAACCGCAUUCGUAAUGCUACAUUUGAAAACUCUUUACUUCUGAAUGUCAUUUCAAAUGAACUUGCCUUGUUCUGAAUCUUUGAUUUAAUGCUUUGUGAUUUGAGAUUUAUUUUCAAGUCUUAAGUGGUAGCAAAUAACAAAAACAGUGGCUAUUACGGAGGCAGAAACCAUAGCUUGUAGCAUUGUAUUCCCAAAAUAAUACUUAAUUAUUUAUUGUGACAAUACUGGGAAACAAAUGAAUCAUGUUUGAAUGUAUUUACCAAGAAAUGUUUGGAGAUACAUAAAUUACUGUCCAUGUGACCAAAAAAGUCAUCUAUAUUUAUAGAACUUUGGGAGAAUUUCAAUGUACUAAAAGAUACAGAGAUCCAUUCCGACUAAUGGAAUAGGUUAGUUCUUAAGAGUUCAGUUACGUAUGUGAAACAUGAAACUCAAACCCAGGAAGUUCGUCAGAAAAGGAAGUUGGAUAUGGCUCUUUGUUUUAGUGGGCAUUUACCAGGAGCCUUCCCCUGCAGCCUUCACACUGUUAAUACACCCUUAAUUUAUUGAUAAUUGUUUGCAUUGAUGUCAAAUGUACAAAGCUGUAACUGCAUAGUAAAUUAAAGAGGUUAAUAGGAAAAAGGAAAUGUUAUUAAGAAGUCUAUAUACGUCUAUAUGUAUAUUUCGUUAUGUAAUGUGCCAUUAAGAAUUUAUUAUGAAAUAAAAUGGUGUAUUUUGUGUCAAUUAGA